AUUGAAACAGCAGUCCCUAUACAAUCACCAAAGUUAAGCAAAAUUGAGCUUGGUUAGUACUUAAAUGGGUGACCAUUUGGGAAUAUCAGAUGCUGUAAG